CUCGUAGGUGGUUUGUCGCGUCGUCUGUGAAAUUCCGGGGCUUAACUCCGGGCGUGCAGGCGAUACGGGCAUAACUUGAGUACUGUAGGGGUAACUGGAAUUCCUGGUGUAGCGGUGAAAUGCGCAGAUAUCAGGAGGAACACCGAUGGCGAAGGCAGGUUACUGGGCAGUUACUGACGCUGAGGAGCGAAAGCAUGGGUAGCGAACU
rnacentral:rRNA from 1 species